CUUGAAGAUUCAGUAUACAAGUUUUUGCAGAGAGUUGUGCUUUUUGAGACAGGCUGGCCUAGAACUUGCUAUGAACUAGAAGAUGAAUUCUUGAGCCUCUUGCCUCUACCUCUCAGGUCUGGGAUUCUGGGACCGGUUCCAAGUCAAGAAGAGGGUUCCUGCGUCAUGUCAUCGCUGUUACUGUUACAGUGGUCCUCCCAGGAGGUGAUGAGCAAGGGACCAGCUGACGUCAGGAGACCCCAGAACUGUGCGUAACAUAGCUGAUUCAUCUCCCCAGGCAGCGGACAUCUCGACCUGCCCCUGGAGCUCUGCUUUGUCUUCUGUAGGUCAGGGCGCUGGUUUAAUUUUUUAAUAAAUAAAAUGGAACCUGACUCACGACUCAAGAGAGGCCACAGCUUGCUCAGUACCUUCAGUGUCUCCAUGGCAACAGAGCCGUCCGGGAGCACUUGAAAAUGUCAUUAUCAACAGAGACCUCGCAUAUCCCUUCUCACCUCACAGCAACAGCCUUGGAGCCUCCACCCAAGAGCUUUUUCACCCUUGAGGUGGGAGGCUGGAUAAAUGACCCAGGCUGGACCACACCCCCUCCCAAAAGCAGAAAGUUGUAACUAUGUCUCCUUGUCCAGCUUUCCUACCACUGGGAUGUCCUUCUGGAACGGGUUGGGUGGGGGACAGGAAUCUCUUUCAUGCUGGGACAGGCCCUAAGAGUGGGUGGGAAGCCUACACUGGAGCCCCGAAGUUCAUGGUUGUCAUUCCUGAAGUUGUCUGGUGGAUGGACUGCGUCGCUGCUGAGGCCUAGAAUUCAAUAAACGUCCAGGAGCCGAUGGCGACGGUGAUGACCGAACACCUACCAGCAGUCAGACGGAAGGUAACAUCCUAUACGCCUUAUUUUCAGGCCCUCACCGGAACUGCUCACCUAGUGACAAUCUAAAUGAGGGGAUGAGUUUCAGCUGAUUUAGUAACGAUGAUGUGGAGCAUGUGUGACUUGCCAGGCACUCCAUCAAGCACGUUAAUGUUUAAUAAUUUCAAGCAGAACACAUACGGUUACCCCUGCUUUACAGAUGAGUGGACUGGGAUCAAUGGAGGCGAAGUAACUGCCCAAGGCCACUUAUUGAAGGGCGAAGCCGAGUUUCAGGGUCAGGACUGAGUUUGACCUGUGUCUGCUGUCUUGUGACUGCCGAAGGCCCGAUGGGGGUUCAAGUUCUGGGCUCAGCAGACAGAGCUUCCAGGACUGCCUGGUUUAAAUGUCCUCCAUGAGCCUAGUCUGGCACUUCUUCCCUGAGGUGGCCCCUGGUGGCCCUCGUCAAGGUGACCUGAGGAGACUGGAUGUUUCUAGUCCACUAGCACCUACGGUUUCAGAUUCAGAGGCACAGGCUACAGGACCAUAGGCUAAUGGUAAAGAGCUACCACUUGAGAAUGUACAGUUAACUGAACUUCUGAGGAUGGGGACCAUGUCUCCUGUGAGACAUUCUCAGGGUCUAGCAAGGAUGUGGCCCAAGGUAGGGGCUUGAUAGCAUUUGUAGAUCUCGAAUGAAGAGUGAAUGUGCACCCUUAAGACUUUCACACUUCUCAUUCCUCCACUGCCUCAGCUUGGUGGGCCUGUCUGCCAGGCUCUGUCCACUCGCUCCUGUGA